GAUAUGCUAGUUUAAAAAAAAACAUUAAACUGUAAAUUUAAAAUUAUUAUUUUGCAUGUUU
rnacentral:tRNA from 1 species